rnacentral:lncRNA from 1 species
AAAAUUACAAACAUAUUUAGUUGGAAGUUGUAAUUAUUGGGACUAAGUUCAAUUGAUGAUUUAAAAUGUGCUUCAAGUGGAAACCUAUGUAUAAUUUGAUUUUAGCAUGGUACAACGAUACAAUUCCUUACAACAACAAUAUACCCAGUAUAAUCCCACAAAAUGAGGUUUGGUGAAGAUAGAGUGUAAGCAGGCCGUAUCACUCCCUCAGAGGUGAGGUAAGAGGUUAUUUUCGACUCGGCUCAAGACAAAAACAAUAUAAAAAAAGAUAAAUAUACAAACUAGGUACAAUAGAUAGUAACAAAACAACAAACAGUAAGAGAA